UACGAGGGGGGCGAGCGUUGUUCGGAAUUAUUGGGCGUAAAGGGUGCGUAGGCGGCCUGACAAGUCUGAUGUGAAAUCCCUGGGCUCAACCCAGGGCCUGCAUCGGAAACUGUCGGGCUUGAGUAUGGGAGAGGUGAGUGGAAUUUCCGGUGUAGCGGUGAAAUGCGUAGAGAUGUGGAGGAACACCAGUGGCGAAGGCGACUUUCUGGCCUAUAACUGACGCUGAGGCGCGAAAGCGUGGGGAGCAAACAGG
rnacentral:rRNA from 1 species